rnacentral:rRNA from 1 species
ACAUGUCCGCAUGAUUAAAGGUAUUUUCCGGUAGACGAUGGGGAUGCGUUCCAUUAGAUAGUAGGCGGGGUAACGGCCCACCUAGUCAACGAUGGAUAGGGGUUCUGAGAGGAAGGUCCCCCACAUUGGAACUGAGACACGGUCCAAACUCCUACGGGAGGCAGCAGUGAGGAAUAUUGGUCAAUGGGCGAUGGCCUGAACCAGCCAAGUAGCGUGAAGGAUGACUGCCCUAUGGGUUGUAAACUUCUUUUAUAAAGGAAUAAAGUCGGGUAUGCAUACCCGUUUGCAUGUACUUUAUGAAUAAGGAUCGGCUAACUCCGUGCCAGCAGCCGCGGUAAUACGGAGGAUCCGAGCGUUAUCCGGAUUUAUUGGGUUUAAAGGGAGCGUAGAUGGAUGUUUAAGUCGGUUGUGAAAGUUUGCGGCUCAACCGUAAAAUUGCAGUUGAUACUGGAUGUCUUGAGUGCAGUUGAGGCAGGCGGAAUUCGUGGUGUAGCGGUGAAAUGCUUAGAUAUCACGAAGAACUCCGAUUGCGAAGGCAGCCUGCUAAGCUGCAACUGACAUUGAGGCUCGAAAGUGUGGGUAUCAAACAGGAUUAGAUACCCUGGUAGUCCACACGGUAAACGAUGAAUACUCGCUGUUUGCGAUAUACGGCAAGCG